rnacentral:rRNA from 1 species
UACGUAGGUGGCAAGCGUUGUCCGGAUUUACUGGGCGUAAAGAGCGCGCAGGCGGCUGGUCAAGUCCGAUGUGAAAUCUCCCGGCUCAACUGGGAAACUGCAUCGGAAACUGAUCGGCUUGAAGGUGGGAGAGGGUAGUGGAAUUCCCGGUGUAGUGGUGAAAUGCGUAGAUAUCAGGAGGAACACCAGUGGCGAAGGCGACUACCUGGCCCAUUCUUGACGCUGAGGCGCGAAAGCUAGGGGAGCGAACGGG